UUCAGGUUAAUAUAUGUUUAAAUAUGAGAGAUUGUAAAUCUCUUUAAGGUAAUACCACCUGAGA
rnacentral:tRNA from 1 species